rnacentral:misc_RNA from 1 species
GUGAUUAGGGCGCUGCGUUCGCACACCCGAGUCGGUGAGGUAACCGUGAGGGGCAGCCGCCUAAGGUGGGAUAGAUGAUUGGGGUGAAGUCGUAACAAGGUAGCCGUAUCGGAAGGUGCGGCUGGAUCACCUCCUUUCUAAGGAUAAGGAACUGCGCAUUGGUCUUGUUUAGUCUUGAGAGGUCUUGUGGGGCCUUAGCUCAGCUGGGAGAGCGCCUGCUUUGCACGCAGGAGGUCAGCGGUUCGAUCCCGCUAGGCUCCAUUGGUGAGAGAUUACCAAGUAAUGCACAUUGAAAAUUGAAUAUCUAUAUCAAAUAGUAACAAGAAAAUAAACCGAAAACGCUGUAGUAUUAAUAAGAGUUUAUGACUGAAAGGUCAGAAAAUAAGGUUAAGUUAAUAAGGGCGCACGGUGGAUGCCUUGGCACUAGGAGCCGACGAAGGACGUGACAACGACGAUAUGCCUUGGGUAGCUGUGAGUAGCGAUGAUCCAGGAUUUCCGACGGGGAAAAAACCAAAAAAGCCAGCGAAUUUCCCAACACCCCAGAGGACGUGUUUAUUGCUGUGUGGCCGCACCAACACAACACCCCCCCGCCUGUAAACUAAAUAUUCUAUUUUUUUUGUGCAGGCAGAGAAAAAAACAAAUAAGAGAAGGCAGGUGGUCGUGUAGUUGUUUGUUGUUUUUCAACCCGACGCGACACACACAUAAUGUUUUUUUAUUAAUUAGAAGUAGUAAUAUGCUCGUAUACCCGAGCGGCGCGCCGGACG